CUUUCGCUCUUUGGAACAACGUCCAUCACCGGCCGCAUCAACGGCCGCGCGGGCUCAGAUUCCCCGACUGCCCGCCGCCGUACGAUCCCCCGAGAAGAUGACGGCAGCGACUCCGACUCCGACGCCCAGAAGAGCCUCAACCGGAAGAAGCGCGAGGCUCGGCCGCGACGUCCCCUGGGGCAUGGAACUCGCUUCCUUUUCCCAUCUCCAGAUCCAAGCGCUUCCUCAGAUACUACUGGGAAAAAAAGAUGUGUUUUGGAGGCGGCGCCAUUUUGAGCUUUCACGGGCUUCGUGGAUAUAAUGAUGUCCAAUAAUGCAGCACUGUGGAUUCAUUAUCGCUUUCUUUUUCAAAGGGGAAUUGCAGAGUGGCUUCUCUGGAGCAAGCGGCCUUGGACGCUUGGAUUCUUGCGAAGAGACUGAAACCGUAUGUUCAAGAAGGAAAGCGAUGGCAGUUCAAUUACAUUGGGAAGUUGCUGUGAGAAGUGGAACCUGAGUUAAUGGAUGCUUCAAUUGAGGACACAGAAGAUGGUGACCAGAGCAGGCUGUGAGCUUUAUUGGUAUCGGAGGCCUGGGUUGGCAAAGAUAAUGAGGAAGGAGAAAGAAGAUUUCGAACAUGAACACGGGAAAGAGGAGGGAAUACCUGGUUAUAAACCUUGGUGCUGAAAAAACAAUCAGAGGAGGAGAUACCUGGUUUUUAACUUUGUUGCUGGAAAAACAAUCUGCAUUGCCUCCCGCUGCUACUCAAAGUUUCAUUUGCAUCCUCUUAGAGGAAAACGAGUUCAGCAUGUACGGGCUGUGUGAGGAGUCCACUUCCCAAUUACCUAGAGAAGAAAGUUUCACCAGCACGUCAUUGAUUCGAUACUUGGUUGCUGUAAGAAAAUCAUUGAAAACACUCUUUGCUGGUUACAAAUCUUUUAAGCAUACACUAAAAUCCUG